UUGUUACCUAGUGUUCCCUCGAACACUUCAAUGAGGAGAGAAGACAUAUAGCUAAUAUAUUGAAACUAUCCUCUCUAUGAAGUGUUUGGGGGAACAACAUGUAGCAU
rnacentral:pre_miRNA from 2 species